CUGUGAUGUGAUGUGAGACACAAGACCUUUCAGGUCUGUUAAGGCCCAUUUGGAGAGUAGUUGGACUGACCUGCAAAGCAACAUCACUUUGCUUGUGCUACGGUCCGUCUAGAUAGGCUAGCUGAAAAGAGUAAAUGAUAGUUUACAUGACGAUGUUAAGGAUUACUGGUUAAAAGCUAAAAUGACUGAAUGCAUUUUGUUGGUGUGUUUUAGCAGAUGGUUAUUGUUUUCAGUCCAUGGUGUUUAUUUUUGAUAUUUUUCAGUUAGAUUUUUUUUAUUCAGUUGUAUUUAUUUUAUUUAAAUAUUCACAUCCCUGGACAGCCAACCUGUCCUGGGUGUAGCUACCCCGCCUGUUUGCACUAUGACUGCUGGAGUUAGAUUGAUUUCAACACUGAGCAAUACAGUAAACUUACAAUUCCAGAGUUGGUUUAAAUCCAGUGUUCAAAAACUGAUUCAGGUUCAGCAAUGUUGUGCAUCAAAUGUUGUCCAUAGUGACAUUUUAGCAUGUAAAUAAGGUGGAAAUCGUCUAGAUAUCGGCCAUGAAAAUCGGCCAAAUAAUAUAUCAGCACAUCUCAGCCACGGCUGAUCGUGACUUAUGGCAACAGAAUGUGGCUGAUAUCUAUGAUCAACAUAACCAAGUGAGACCUGAUGUUGUUCCGUGUUUUGUUCUUUAGAAAGAGGUGUUACAUGAAACUUUACACGGUCUUUGAGCCUACAGCAGAAAGUAAUGUCGUAAUGGCAGGCAGUAAUCAGGUAUGGGUGUGGCAGGUGAUAUUUUUCUUUUUCAAAUCGUUUCCUGAUAUUGGGAUUAAUCAUAGGAAAUAAUAAUCCAACAAAGAGAGCAAUCCUUUUUCACAAUAAGAUAAUUUGGAGUCAGCGUUUUAUUUACACAAGAUGUCCGAUGUUGAAAUUUGUUUCCUGAUCCGCAACAUUUAUGCGUGACUAAAAAGGAAAAAAAAAAAAAACCUGUAAGUGGGCAAAUACCCUUUUCCUCGAAGCAUUGCAUAUAACCGACAGCUUAUGAACGCAGCACAGAGCUGCACCGCGUGCAACUUGAAGGAGCAGACAGUCACAGCUUCGCCGCGCACGAGCCGGGCGUGGAGCGUCUCCACCGGGAGGACACCAGGAAGAACCCCGCCGGAAGCUGACAGAUCGGGUCACCAGCAGGAGAAGACAAGCUCUCCAGAGGAUCAAAUAUCCACAGCAGCUGAGAUGUUUCCUGGAGGCAGUGUCAUUUUGAUCUCUGGUUCCUGUUAUGCUCCCUGAAGCUGUUCUCAGGUCAGCCCCUCAGGACCAGCAAGCACAAAGACACCCAUCCAGAAACAACAUGACUGAGCUGCAGCAUGCGGCUCAGGCUGGAUCCCUCCACAGACUGGGUGUCACGUUUUUAAUGAGGCAAAGUUGAUGGACAGGAAGCUCCUCUUGCUUUUGGAUUGACAUUCAUGCGCCAUAACUGGAAGUUAGGUGGGAAGGGGACAGGAAUACUCUGAGCAGGUAUUUCCCUUCACGUCCCCGAGAGGUCUGUUGCAAAGAGGCAGUGAGGGAACCUUGUCUACUGGAAGAUGGAGGCUGGAGGAGAGGCUAGUCCACAUCAGCACCAGAGGAGGAAGCCCGUGCUACACGGAUUGGAGGAUCAGAAAAGGGUAAGAAGCCUUUGUUUUCUGUUUGCAUGCUUUCUUCUGCACCCGGAGUUGUUUCCUCUGCAGCACACUGGUUUACGAUUCAGCUGAGUGUGGCUUUCUAACAAAAGCGGAGACUCAACAGAAGCUGGCAUAUGUAUGCCAGAUGGAGAGUUAAACAGCAAGUUGGUGCUGCGAGUUGAAUCUUAAAAUUUCUGCAUCAGCUGCAGAAGCACACCUCUUUGCAGCUACAGCCUGCUUGUUGACUCAUGAAUAUAUGCUGUGUUUGAGGUUUGGGUGAAAAACUGAAUUGCAGAAAUACUUUUAGCAUCACUAUGCAUUGCAGACCUCCCAUGUUUUGGUCACAGUGAAGUUUGCAGGUCAACACGGCAUGUUUUCCUUAUUUUAAUAACUUUCUUGACCGUUCACUCUCUGCAGCUAACUGCACAGAAGGUGGGAUUGAUCUCCCUCCUACAGUUUCCAUAUUAUAUAACACUAUGGGCUAUAAAUAUAAUGAGCAAUACUGUCAGCAGUGACGUGAGUCUUUUCAUGCUUUCUUUGGAAAAGCAGAGGAAGAACACACUGUUUUGUGAGUGCUGUAGGGUCUACACACCCCUUAAAAGAUUGAACUUGUGUUUGAGAAUUAACACGUUUGUCUUGUUUUCAUCAGUAUUCAAUAACGUCAAAGUUAGUCGUCAUCACUCACUGAUGAAAUUACAUCUCCCCAUCAGACCUAUCCCCGAGCUGCGGCAGUGGCUGUGCACAGGAACUAUUUGGCGGUUUGAUAAUCAUAUUUCCAAUUUGUUUAGAAUGUAGCAUCGUCCUGUUUGCAUUUUUAGCACAAAUAGGGUGGUGAGGCAAAACGUUCAGGACCUGAGUGAAUCAGACAGGUGGGGGAAUGAGAAGAUGUUUCCACUCGUUUGGUCCCAAAGGCUGAGGUGAGGUAGAGUCAGGUAGUGUUUUAUUAAACACUGAUAUGCUUUUGCCAGCAUAAUAAGUCAUUAAUGCUUUUAAUAUUAAUGUACACCAAGAAGUUUAAAAUAUUUGGAACUGGGGGAUAAGAUCAUGAAUGACUGAAUGAAUAUAAAUUUCAAUAUUACUAAAGCUUUAAAGAUGGCUACCACAGCUAAACCUCACAAAGAGGGCUACACAGAUGGCACCAUUUCCAACACACUUUGAACAGAUAGCCUGAGAUCUGUGGUCGUGCGUGACUUAUUUCUGUAGAUUGGACCAAAAUGACUACAACUGCAGAAUUAUACAGCAAAUGAGGUUAGUGAGCUCUCUCACCUAUUAAUUGUAUAACAUUACAUACUAGUUCUAGGCCGCUAUCGAAGCAUCCUGGGCCUCCAUAACACCUCAGCAGUGCCACAGGCUGAUUGCCUCCAUGCUGCGCCGCAUUGAAGCAGUCAUUUCUGCAAAAGGAUUCCUGACCAAGUAUUUAGUGCAUAACUGAACAUAAUUAUUUGAAGGUUGACUUUUUUGUAUUAAAAACACUUUUCUUUUAUUGGUCGGAUGAAAUAUGCAAAUUUUUUGAUAUAGGAAUUUUGGGUUUUCAUGAGCUGUAUGCCAAAAUCAUCAAUAUCAAAAACAAUAAAAGGCUUGAACUACGUCAGUUGUGUGUGAUGAAUCUAAUAUAUAUGAAAGUCUAAUGUUUAUCAGUACAUUACAGACAAUAAUGAACUUUAUCACAAUAUGUUAAUUUUUUGAGAAGGACCUGUAGCUGACAGGCAGGAUCAUAUGUGUUUGAUACAAUAAAAAUAUAUGUCAUUUCAGUCAUUGUCAUUUUCCUCUUUGGCUCCAUCUGAUAACUUUAAAAAAAUUGUUUUUAUUUAUUAAUAUUCUAUGUUUCUAUGCAGGGUAUUCACGAGGUUCUUUGUACUGACUAUUUCUGGCAGAAAGUGCAUGUGUAGGAGGCGAGAUAUUUUCCAAUAACAGCUGAAUGCAUUUCUAGGAAGAGGGUGAUUGAUUAAGUGUGAUAUGCUGUGAAUAAGCAGUGUUUUGUAGGUCAGAAAAUUAUUUUGCAUGAGCACAUUUUGUUUGCUCAGCUUAAAGGG